UUAUGGCCAUAUCACACUCAAACGCCCAUUCUCGUCCUAUCACCGAAGUUAAGCAACGUUGAACUUGGUCAGUAAUAGGUAAGUGACCGCUUGGGAAUACCAGAUG